AACGCAUAUUGCGCUCGAGCCCUCGGGCAAGAGCAUGUCUGCCUCAGCGUCGGUUUACACCCUCACCCCUCCCAACUUGUUGAGGUGCGUUUGCUCUGUUUGCAAGCCUAGGGGUGGAUCUGGCUUCCCCAACCAGCCAUCAGGCAGAUUGGGUUGGCUGAAGUGCAAAGGCUUAAGCAAGGACCCGAUAUGGGCUUCAACUGGAUAGGUAGCACCGGCUUCUGCCGACUACACGAAGUUGUUGCUUGUGGAUCUUGCUAGAAGCUAAGUAGGAAUGUGCCCUUGGCAUACCUAAACUUUCGACCUGAGCUCAGGCAAGAUUACCCGCUGAACUUAA
rnacentral:misc_RNA from 1 species